rnacentral:tRNA from 1 species
GCGUGUAGCUCAGUGGUAGAGCACUUGCCUAGCAUGUACAAGAUCUUGGGUUCCAUUCCCAGCACUGCA